UACGAGAGGCCCAAACGUUAUUCGGAAUUACUGGGCUUAAAGAGUUCGUAGGCGGCAUUGCAAGUAGGGUGUGGAAGCCCUCGGCUCAACCGAGGAAUUGCGCUCUAAACUGCAGUGCUCGAGGAAGCUAGAGGUGAGCAGAACAGAUGGUGGAGCGGUGAAAUGCGUUGAUAUCAUCUGGAAUACCGGAGGCGAAGGCGGCUCACUGGGGCUUUUCUGACGCUGAGGAACGAAAGCCAGGGUAGCGAACGGG
rnacentral:rRNA from 1 species